AUAUUAAUAAGCGGAGGAAAAGAAACUAACAAGGAUUCCCCUAGUAACGGCGAGUGAAGCGGGAACAGCUCAAAUUUGAAAUCUCCUCCUUUUCUCGGGAGGCGAAUUGUAGUUUAGAGAAGUGCUUUCGAGGGCAGCUUGGGCACAAGUUCUUUGGAACGAGACAUCGUAGAGGGUGAGAAUCCCGUCCACGGUCCGAAGCCUGCUCUUAUGUGAUGCACUUUCGAAGAGUCGAGUUGUUUGGGAAUGCAGCUCAAAAUGGGUGGUAAAUACCAUCUAAAGCUAAAUAUUGGCGAGAGACCGAUAGCGCACAAGUA
rnacentral:rRNA from 1 species